CGGAACUUCGUGAAACAUGAAAACAUCACGCUUUAUUACGGCUCGCUAAGGCAGCUUUAUUAUACCAAGGGGUGCGCGAAGGAGCGCGGCCCACAUAUGAGGACUUCGUACGCGACAUCCAAGAAAGACGGUCGAGAAAUAGAGCAAUGUAUCGAGCCAUUGUUACUGUUCAAUAAACGCCCACUGUAAAUUGUCGUAUAGUGUUUAAUUAAGGGGUGUAAUACCCCUAAUCCUUUAUAAAGUUAGUGAAUCUUUUACAUCAGAAGUGGGAUGUGCCCAAAUAAUUAACUAAUAGCUACCGAGAUAAUUACAUUAAAAAAAAAAGUGUUUAAAGAAAUUCGCGCCGCGACGGUGCGGUCCGAAAAAGUGUUGUUUGUAACGUCGAGUGCCAUGCAAGACAACAGACAAGUGAGUUGCAGAAAAUUUUGAUUACCUAAGUGGAAGCGCAAUAACGUAAACCGAAAUCGUAUAGUAGGGAACAGUUUUCGUUUUUUAUUGACUAGCCCUCGUGCGAGUAGGUGCCCGGAUGAAAAGUUGUGGCACAUUAAACUGUUUACAUGCUCACUUCUGUGAGUAGAGUACAAUUCGGUUAGAAACUUGCGUUCCGCCUUACCAAUACAAUGACCACAAUUGGAACGUGAGCUUUAGGAACUUAAGCGGGUUCGACGCAAGACCAUUAAAUUUAAAUCGGUCAAGAAUUCCAAAUACGUUUUGAUAUACGCGGGAAAUAAUACAAAAGUUACGACGCAAAACCCGUUUUUAGGAAGAAAUUGCCAUCGCCAGACAUUGAAAACAAUGCAUUGAAUUUCUACUUCCAAAUCAAGCAUUUAUUGCCAAAACCAAGAUACCUCAAUUAAACUUUUGAUUAGAACAGUGACAUUUCGUAACCAAGGAAACGCCUCUUUAACUUCUUAAUUUAUGACGUCUGAAACCCUAUUCGAACUGAAUAUGAGUGGUAAAAACUAGUUUAAAGUUAAAAAUAGAAACCGCAUUGACCCUUUAAAAACUCAUCAUUACCUAAGUGAGGGAAAGUUGCUGUCGUCUUAAAAAAAAAAGAAACGCACUUUAAUACAUCGCGCUCGUCGUUUGGUGUGCAAAAAGAGCAGCUGGCCGCGACAACACGUAUCUAAGCUGAAUGUUCCUCAAGUAUUGGGGAACUCGCGCGUUCCGACAUCAAAGAUGAAGGAAUUAGCGGAAGGUAGCAAAUAAGAGGAUGGAAUAUCAUCCCGGCGUCGUUCGGUUCAGAUGACCACAGAUGAACACAGGAGAUCAUGAUGCAUUAUUACCCCGCAAAAUUAAAAUACCACCCAUCAAUUCCUCGGGAUAACGAAACUACAAUAUUUUGUAUAAUCUGCGGACUUCACCUAGAACUCCAAGCGAAUGACAACAAGAGCGUUCCGGUGGACUAUACCAGAUUACCUUCGGAAGAGUCAACUUUUAUCGUAGCGGAAAAAAACGGACAUUCUGCAAAAAGUUCGCCGAUGUCACGCCUGCGAGUAUGCGCAGCAUUCAAUAAAGGAUUUCCUUCAACACCUAUCGCAAGAACUGUCACUACUCGGCGAAUCAUCGCAAAUCCAGACAUAACACAAUAUGGAAUCUGCAAAAGCGUUCGGAAUAUGGCAGUUCCAUCGAAUUUGGGGAAAAGAAAACAUCAAAUUUCGGCCCUUUACAAAUUACACAUGGUCCUUUAGCGCUGGGGCAUCGUCUCCCAUAGAUGAACCAUUCGUUCUAUGUGCAUCAAUUGAAGUAGAGCUGCCUAAUCCAAGGGAAGUCUUAAGGCUCACUGUCAAUGCAUCAGUUUUCUAUAAUAAAUUUUAAUUAUUUUCUAGCACCAAUUGGUUGGAUAUUCGGUGGCUGUAGAGGUAGAGUAUAGAAGGUUAGCAGAUAGCUGGUGGAGGACACCUAAUAUUAGAAUGGAAAAGUCCAUCCACCAUUCGAAACAGAGAGGCACGCUUUACCCAAACACAAACUACGAGUUACAGUAUCUCUUCAUGGCGAAUCCAAUGCCUGACCUCCACACCUCGAGAAUGCUAAUGGAAAAAAGUGUAAGUCACGUUGAUCCUUAACUCGAUUCAUAUCGUCAAAAAAAAAACAGAUAAAAAAAAAAGGUGCAAGCAGCAUUC